CCUGACCCCGAGGGAAAGGCCCGGUCCUAACCCAGACACCUGUGGCCAGGUCCCCAAAUAACCCCGGGAGCACAGCGCUCAGCCCCGCCGCCUGCAGGAGCCGGCCCAGGGGGAAAAGCCGGGCAAUAAGGCAAAGGGCGGCGGAGCGGGACCGCCCUAUGGGACCGCCGCUGCAGGCAGCAGUUCGGGGCUGGUGCUGGGGAGGUGCUGAGGUGACAGCCGCCAGCCUCUAGCGUUGGAGGAAGAAAACGCAAGAAGCCGAGUUGUGGCAAUGCCUGAGGCGGUGCCGUUCACCUGCUUCUCGAUCAAACUUGGGAAACUACGCCCCGAAAACCAACCCAAACCCAAACCAGAGACAAAGCAACCACGCCCCGCAGGAGAAAAGCUCUGGGCUGCAGCCUCCGGGAGAGGGGAAUAAAGCCUGGAGCACGUCGCUGGUCCUACAGCAGCACUGCUUGUCCAGUAGGAACCUCGGUUCUGGUCACUGACCCUAGGCGAUCCCAAAACCAACAGCUGGGCACUCAAGCUAUUUGGUAAGAUAGUAUCGAUGUGAAAGAAAAAAAAAAUCCCCUUUUCAGGCAGAAACCAGCUUCAGUUGCAGAAGAGUACGGGACACGCAGCUUGGAUCAGUUCAUAGGGGAAAGAAGACAUGGCAGGGACAGGACAGCCAACUCCAGCAGUUGAGGCCUUUCUGAGCAGAGGCCGCAGCCCUCACAGCUCCCCCCCAGCCUCCUCAGAAGAUGCUCCGUGUGCAGCCCCAGAGACCACGCUCCUAGGGCCGUGUUUGCCUCCAUCUCUGGAGGGAGCAUCCAAGAUUAAGACUGCACACACCUCCAAAACGAGUGCUGAAGUAUGACGCCCCAUUGAGACUACUGGUUCUUCAGCUGAUUUAGCAGAAGAAUGUCCCUUUACAAACCUUCAGCACUUUUACAUGUCUUUAUUGAAGUCCACAAAGAUGUAACUGUGAUUUGGAUGACUUACACCAAUUCCUUUUUUU
rnacentral:lncRNA from 1 species